rnacentral:rRNA from 1 species
AGUGAACGCUGGCGGUAGGCCUAACACAUGCAAGUCGAACGGCAGCACAGUAAGAGCUUGCUCUUACGGGUGGCGAGUGGCGGACGGGUGAGGAAUACAUCGGAAUCUACUUUUUCGUGGGGGAUAACGUAGGGAAACUUACGCUCAUACCGCAUACGACCUACGGGUGAAAGCAUGGGAUCUUCGGACCUUGCGCGAAUGAAUGAGCCGAUGUCGGAUUAGCUAGUUGGCGGGGUAAUUGCCCACCAAGGCGACGAUCCGUAGCUGGUCUGAGAGGCUGAUCGGCCACAUGGGAACUGAGACACGGUCCAGACUCCUACGGGAGGCAGCAGUGGGGAAUAUUGGACAAUGGGCGCAAGCCUGACCCAGCCAUACCGCGUGUGUGAAGAAGGCCUUCGGGUUGUAAAGCCCUUUUGUUGGGAAAGAAAAGCAGCAGGUUAAUACCCCGCUGUUCUGACGGUACCCAAAGAAUAAGCACCGGCUAACUUCGUG